rnacentral:rRNA from 1 species
AUUGAACGCUGGCGGCAUGCCUUACACAUGCAAGUCGAACGGCAUCGCGGGAAAGCUUGCUUUCCUGGCGGCGAGUGGCGAACGGGUGAGUAACACAUCGGAACGUACCGGCUAGUGGGGGAUAACCCGUCGAAAGACGGGCUAAUACCGCAUACGCUCUUCGGAGGAAAGCAGGGGACCUUUGGGCCUUGCGCUAGUCGAGCGGCCGAUGUCCGAUUAGCUAGUUGGUGGGGUAAAGGCCUACCAAGGCGACGAUCGGUAGCGGGUCUGAGAGGACGAUCCGCUACACUGGGACUGAGACACGGCCCAGACUCCUACGGGAGGCAGCAGUGGGGAAUCUUGGACAAUGGGGGCAACCCUGAUCCAGCAAUGCCGCGUGGGUGAAGAAGGCCUUCGGGUUGUAAAGCCCUUUCGGCAGGGAAGAAAUCGGCGGGGCGAAUAACCCUGCUGGAUGACGGUACCUGCAGAAGAAGCACCGGCUAACUACGUG